rnacentral:rRNA from 1 species
AGAGUUUGAUCCUGGCUCAGGAUGAACGCUGGCGGCGUGCCUAAUACAUGCAAGUCGAGCGAACCACUUCGGUGGUGAGCGGCGAACGGGUGAGUAACACGUAGGUGAUCUGCCCAUCAGACGGGGACAACGAUUGGAAACGAUCGCUAAUACCGGAUAGGACGAAAGUUUAAAGGUGCUUCUGGCACCGCUGAUGGAUGAGCCUGCGGCGCAUUAGCUAGUUGGUAGGGUAAAGGCCUACCAAGGCGACGAUGCGUAGCCGACCUGAGAGGGUGAACGGCCACACUGGGACUGAGACACGGCCCAGACUCCUACGGGAGGCAGCAGUAGGGAAUCUUCGGCAAUGGGCGAAAGCCUGACCGAGCAACGCCGCGUGAAUGAUGAAGGCCUUCGGGUUGUAAAAUUCUGUUAUAAGGGAAGAACGACUUUAGUAGGAAAUGGCUAGAGUGUGACGGUACCUUAUGAGAAAGCCACGGCUAACUACGUGCCAGCAGCCGCGGUAAUACGUAGGUGGCGAGCGUUAUCCGGAAUUAUUGGGCGUAAAGAGCGCGCAGGUGGUUGAUUAAGUCUGAUGUGAAAGCCCACGGCUUAACCGUGGAGGGUCAUUGGAAACUGGUCGACUUGAGUGCAGAAGAGGGGAGUGGAAUUCCAUGUGUAGCGGUGAAAUGCGUAGAGAUAUGGAGGAACACCAGUGGCGAAGGCGGCUUCCUGGUCUGUAACUGACACUGAGGCGCGAAAGCGUGGGGAGCAAACAGGAUUAGAUACCCUGGUAGUCCACGCCGUAAACGAUGAGUGCUAAGUGUUGGGGGCCGAACCUCAGUGCUGAAGUUAACGCAUUAAGCACUCCGCCUGGGGAGUACGGUCGCAAGACUGAAACUCAAAUGAAUUGACGG